rnacentral:sRNA from 1 species
UGAUAGGUUGUGGCGUUUUGCCUCGCAAU